rnacentral:rRNA from 1 species
AAUAUUAAUUCCGCUUGAUCCUGGCGGACCCAACUGCUAUCGGGGUGAGAUUAAGCCAUGCGAGUUGUGCGUUUCUUGGCUAUGUUAGAGACGCAGCACACGGCUCAGUAACAUGUGGUUAACCUACCCUCAGGACAGCAACAACCCCGGGAAACUGGGGCUAAUUGCUGAUAGAUGAGGAAGUCUGGAAUGACUCUUCGUUUAAAGGGUAUUGAUGACAUGCCUUUCAGUAUUGCCUGAGGAUGGGACCGCACCCGAUCAGGUUGUUGGUGAGGUAACGGCUCACCAAGCCUAUAACCGGUACGGGCCGUGAGAGCGG